rnacentral:tRNA from 1 species
GGCCCCAUCGUCUAUCGGAUAGGACACAAGCUUUUCAUGCUUGGUAGAGGAGUUCGACUCUCCUUGGGGCUGCCA